rnacentral:rRNA from 1 species
GACGAACGCUGGCGGCGUGCCUAAUACAUGCAAGUUGAGCGCUGAAGGUUGGUACUUGUACCAACUGGAUGAGCAGCGAACGGGUGAGUAACGCGUGGGGAAUCUGCCUUUGAGCGGGGGACAACAUUUGGAAACGAAUGCUAAUACCGCAUAAAAACUUUAAACACAAGUUUUAAGUUUGAAAGAUGCAAUUGCAUCACUCAAAGAUGAUCCCGCGUUGUAUUAGCUAGUUGGUGAGGUAAAGGCUCACCAAGGCGAUGAUACAUAGCCGACCUGAGAGGGUGAUCGGCCACAUUGGGACUGAGACACGGCCCAAACUCCUACGGGAGGCAGCAGUAGGGAAUCUUCGGCAGUGGACGAAAGUCUGACCGAGCAACGCCGCGUGAGGGAAGAAGGUUUUCGGAUCGUAAAACUCUGUUGGUAGAGAAGAACGUUGGUGAGAGUGGAAAGCUCAUCAAGUGACGGUAACUACCCAGAAAGGGACGGCUAACUACGUG